AAGCUCGUAGUUGAAUUUCGGGACCAAUUUGUUGGUCGUGCCUCGGUACGUACUGGUAUUAUUGGUUUCUCCCUUCUGAAGAACCUCGAUGUCAUUAAUUUGGUGUCGUGGGGAAUCAGGACUGUUACUUUGAAAAAAUUAGAGUGUUUAAAGCAGGCAUACGCUUGAAUACAUUAGCAUGGAAUAAUGAAAUAGGACGUUUGAUUCUAUUUUGUUGGUUUCUAGGAUCGACGUAAUGAUUAAUAGGGAUAGUUGGG
rnacentral:rRNA from 1 species